GAAAUGCGAUAAGUAAUGUGAAUUGCAGAAUUCAGUGAAUCAUCGAAUCUUUGAACGCACAUUGCGCCCCUUGGUAUUCCGAGGGGCAUGCCUGUUCGAGCGUCAUUACACCACUCAAGCACUGCUUGGUAUUGGGCAUCGUCCGUCGAAAGGCGGGCGUGCCUCGAAGACCUCGGCGGGGUUUCUCCAACUUCGGGCGUAGUAGAGUUAAAUCGAACGUCUUAUAAGCUUGGUGGGACUCCAUUGCCGUUAAACCUUUUAUUUUCUAGGUUGACCUCGGAUCAGGUAGGGAUACCCGCUGAACUUAA
rnacentral:misc_RNA from 1 species